rnacentral:lncRNA from 1 species
AACUGCCCUGCUACCAGUUCCCGUGAAACUAGCGCCACAGCUCGCUCUAGUAAUUGUCCUAAAAAACAAUUG